CACAGGGGUGGUGCAAUGCUGUCAGUCUUUUCAGACAAAAAUUCUUUUCAACUUCUUCUCUCUCAGGUGGCUGUUGUACUUCUAUUGUGCCGUUUGCCAACUUCCUGUACACUGGCCUGGGGUUUUUCGCAAAUUGCUUGUUUAUGUGUUUUGCAUGCAUUUUCUUGUCUUUGUUCCUAAUCUGUGCGGCGAAAGCUUUCACUCAGGCUUGAUGUUUAGCCAGCCUCCCACCCACCUGUUUAUCUUCAACAUUGUAUUUUAUUUUAAUGAGACUAACUUUUUUUUUUUUUUUUUUAAAGGAGAUUCCUUUUAUGGUUGUGGCCUCCCAAAAAUGUCCCACCAUCCAGGACAUUUACCACAGUCGGUGCCAGUGUAAGGCAUGCAGCAUCAUUAAGGAUCACACUCACCCCGCAAAAGGACUAUUCGAACUGUUACCCUCUGGCAGGACGUACAGGAGUCUGCCACCCGUACCAAAAGACUCAGGAACAGUUACUAUCCACAGGCUGUCAGACUACUGAACUCUAAAUAACACAGAAUUAUGAUAAUAACACUGCACUAAGCCACUUCUUUAACACUAUAUGUCUAUUGCUGUUAUCAAUGUGACUGUAUCUCGUAUGUCACCACCUUACCUUUCAUAACUCAUCUCAGUUUUUACUAUUUAUUAUUACCUGUGCAGUAACUAGCUACAUAACUGUGCAAUAUGUCAUGUGCAAUAUGAACAAUACUACAACCUGUGAAUACUACAACCUGACUACUACUGACUAUUAUUAUUAUUUAAUUAUUUUUAUAUGCUUACAUUUUCGGUAUUUAUAUUGCAUGCUAUUAGUACUUCCUGCGAGUUUGAACAGUCCUUCUCAUCCUAAGCAUUUCAUUGCACUGUUGACUCUGUGUUAACCUGCAUAUGAUCAAUAAAUUAUCUUGUAUCUUGUAAGCCGAUGCACGAAAACGGCACCACCAAUCACAUUAUAAUUUGGCACAGUUUCAGGAUAUUGACAAAAUAAAUGUGUGCAAGAAACUUACAGUUUAGUCUGUCUGGAUAUUUAUUUUCUGUGGAGAAAUUGUGUAGAAUGGAGGUUUACAACCACAUUUCUUAUUUUUUCCAUUUUUGGGUGAACUCGGCGGAGCCUUGCAAUCGCGUGUUUUCUGCCACUUUUCAAGCCUAUAAAUUCCGUUCGAGCAUUUGAAAACAGCACAACGUGCGCCUGUCAUUAUUGUAUGUGUCGCUUAAGGCUUAAAGCCUUUGAAACAAGCCCUGUAAGUCUUAACUUCAAAGUCUGCUAACGCUACCAUAUACGAAAUUCAAUGGUAGCAGUGUGUGUUUGGGAGCUGUAAUUUUUUACCCUGUUAGACCCACGCAUCCGCAGAAACGUUGCACACUUCGCUUAUUCGUCUUCUAAUUCCCACUGCUCUGGGUCUGGGUGCAUCUGUAUACUGUUUUGUGGUUGAAGUGGUGAAUGAGUCCUAAUUUGUUGGGGCGGUGGAUGACUCAUUUUUGGGGGGCAGUGCCUGACUCCUAAGUUGUUGGGGUGGUGUUUGACUUCUACUUCUCCUUUUGUGCAAGAGGCUGGCUUGCUUUGGUGUUCUUUGCUGGAUGCAUGAAUUAUCAUGUGUGUGUUCAGGCUGCUCUUGUGUCCAAAUCUUUUACCACACUCAGAACAGACAAAUGCUUUUUGCCCUGUAUGAAUUACCAUGUGUCUGUUCAGGUUGCCCUUUCCCUAAAUCUUCGACCACACUCAGAACAAACAAAUGGUUUUUGUCCUGUCUGAAUUCUAAUCUGUUUGUUCAGACUGCUCUUAUGUUUCUGUCUUUUACUCAUAUCAGAACAGCUAAAUGGUUUUCCACUCGCUUGCCUCUCCUUUUGUUGCUCUGAGUUGUUCAUGUGACCAGAUG